ACAUAUGGUGAUUGAAGAAUUGUUGAAGCUUUUCGUUGGUGAAGUUGAUACAGAGUUGCUCAAAGCUGUUGUACUGCUCGAGACCAAGGAGGGGAAAAGCAACGGAACAGAAAACAGAGGAACAGGACGCAUAACGGGGAUAUCGCUUAAGCACGACAUAAGUUACACGUUAUGUUUUUUCAUAAGGAAAAAAUUCUCCCGUUUCCCGUUGGUCUACUUCGAAACAAUUAAUAUUUGGUUUUAUCUUGAUUUUAUCCGUUAUUGCUUGUUCUCCGCUCUUUUAAUCGGAUGGAUCAAACGAGUCGUUAGAUUCGAAGCAGACCUACGAAGAGUCAGGGAGGUGCUAAAUGUUCGAAAAUAUGACGUAACAUUAAUUCACGUAUAUGAAUGACACAAGGACAUAAAAGUUUAUCAAUCGUAUAUCGAUAAACCGUAGUUCUAAAGAUUAAAGGCUAUGUUUAAAUCGAUCGAUUAAAGUAUGAUAAAACAUCGAACGCGAUAAUUAUAACGGUCGAUGACAAGGUUUUCAUUCGAGAGAGGCGUAUGACGUAUUAUUGUAAUUACGUAUAUCGGAGCCCGGUUCGAAUUUCACUUUUUAAAUAAUAAAUGUACCAUGUACGAGAUUCUUCGCCAAUAAACAAAGAUUGUCUACAUUUUUUUAAGUACUUUCUCUUUCUUCUUUCCUUUUCUUUAUUUUCUCAUUGGCAUCUAUGUCAAACUUUUUUCGCAAAUUGCAUUUGCCGAAACUGUAUAUGCGCUUUAAUUUGGAAAAAUAACGAUCAUGAACCGUACUGUGUUAAUUUUGUUGUUCACAGCAGAUGGUUUUAAUGAGCAUCGAGAGGAACGAAUUGAAAACGGACAGUGUU